rnacentral:tRNA from 1 species
GCUUCAGUAGCUCAGUUGGUUAGAGCACCUCUGACUGUUAAUCAGGGGGUCGUUGGUUCAAGCCCAUCCUGAAGCG